UACGUAGGGACCGAGCGUUGUCCGGAAUUACUGGGCGUAAAGAGCUCGUAGGUGGUUUGUCGCGUUGUUCGUGAAAACUCACAGCUUAACUGUGGGCGUGCGGGCGAUACGGGCAGACUUGAGUACUGCAGGGGAGACUGGAAUUCCUGGUGUAGCGGUGGAAUGCGCAGAUAUCAGGAGGAACACCGGUGGCGAAGGCGGGUCUCUGGGCAGUAACUGACGCUGAGGAGCGAAAGCGUGGGGAGCGAACAGG
rnacentral:rRNA from 1 species